rnacentral:rRNA from 1 species
UACGAGGGGGGCAAAUGUUGUUCGGAAUCACUGGGCGUAAAGGGAGCGUAGGCGGGUUUUUAAGUCAGGUGUUUAAUCCCGGGGCCCAACCCCGGACAGGCACUUGAAACUGGGAAUCUUGAAUAGUGGAGAGGUCGGUGGAAUUGGGGGUGUAGCGGUGGAAUGCGUAGAGAUCCCCAAGAACACCCGUUGCGAAGGCGGCCGACUGGACACAUAUUGACGCUGAGGCACGAAAGCGUGGGGAGCAAACAGG